GAUGAGGUCCCUAGUGGUUUGCAUGUUGGACUAUGAAUCCAGAGACCAGGGUUCAAAUCCUUGCUCAGCC